rfam:Cajanus cajan chromosome 10, whole genome shotgun sequence.
UUGAGCCGUACGAGAUGAAAUUCUCAUAUACGGUUCUUGGGGGGGGUUCCAUUGGUUUACCUAUCUCAAU